rnacentral:rRNA from 1 species
GAGUUCCUAUACGAUCACCGAAGUUAAGCAACAUCCACCCAGGUCAGUACUUAGAUGGGUGACUGCUUGGGAAUACCAGGGCUGU